AUUGAACGCUGGCGGAAUGCUUUACACAUGCAAGUCGAGCGGCAGCGCGGGGCAACCUGGCGGCGAGCGGCGAACGGGUGAGUAACACAUCGGAACGUGCCCAGACGUGGGGGAUAGCCCGGCGAAAGCCGGAUUAAUACCGCAUACGAUCUAAGGAUGAAAGCGGGGGACUCGCAAGGGCCUCGCGCGUUUGGAGCGGCCGAUGGCAGAUUAGGUAGUUGGUGGGGUAAAGGCUUACCAAGCCUGCGAUCUGUAGCUGGUCUGAGAGGAUGAUCAGCCACACUGGGACUGAGACACGGCCCAGACUCCUACGGGAGGCAGCAGUGGGGAAUUUUGGACAAUGGGCGCAAGCCUGAUCCAGCCAUUCCGCGUGCAGGACGAAGGCCUCGGUUGUAAACUGCUUUGUACGGACGAAAAGGUACGUUCUCUAAUACAGAAGGGCCCGAUGACGGUACCGUAAGAAUAAGCACCGGCUAACUAACGUGCCAGCAGCCGCGGU
rnacentral:rRNA from 1 species